rnacentral:rRNA from 1 species
UACGUAGGGCGCAAGCGUUAUCCGGAAUUAUUGGGCGUAAAGAGCUCGUAGGCGGUUUGUCGCGUCUGCUGUGAAAUCCCGAGGCUCAACCUCGGGUCUGCAGUGGGUACGGGCAGACUGGAGUGCGGUAGGGGAGAAUGGAAUUCCUGGUGUAGCGGUGGAAUGCGCAGAUAUCAGGAGGAACACCGAUGGCGAAGGCAGGUCUCUGGGCCACUACUGACGCUGAGAAGCGAAAGCGUGGGGAGCGAACAGG